rnacentral:rRNA from 1 species
GACGAACGCUGGCGGCGUGCCUAACACAUGCAAGUCGAACGGAGAGGUUAUUGAGGAGACUUCGGUCAACGAGAUAAUUUUCUUAGUGGCGGACGGGUGAGUAACGCGUGAGCAAUCUGCCUUUCAGAGGGGGAUAACGUUCUGAAAAGAACGCUAAUACCGCAUAACGUAUUUUGAUGGCAUCAUCGAGAUACCAAAGGAGCAAUCCGCUGAAAGAUGAGCUCGCGUCUGAUUAGAUAGUUGGUGGGGUAACGGCCUACCAAGUCGACGAUCAGUAGCCGGACUGAGAGGUUGAACGGCCACAUUGGGACUGAGACACGGCCCAGACUCCUACGGGAGGCAGCAGUGGGGAAUAUUGCACAAUGGGCGCAAGCCUGAUGCAGCAACGCCGCGUGAGGGAAGACGGUCUUCGGAUUGUAAACCUCUGUCCUUGGUGACGAAACAAUGACGGUAGCCUUGGAGGAAGCCACGGCUAACUACGUGCCAGCAG